CAGUAGCCGCGGGAAUACAGAGGGUGCGAGCGUUAAUCGGAUUUACUGGGCGUAAAGCGUGCGUAGGCGGCUUCUUAAGUCGGAUGUGAAAUCCCUGAGCUUAACUUAGGAAUUGCAUUCGAUACUGGGAAGCUAGAGUAUGGGAGAGGAUGGUAGAAUUCCAGGUGUAGCGGUGAAAUGCGUAGAGAUCUGGAGGAAUACCGAUGGCGAAGGCAGCCAUCUGGCCUAAUACUGACGCUGAGGUACGAAAGCAUGGGGAGCAAACAGGAUUAGAUACCCCAGUAGUACCUGUCUCUUAUAC
rnacentral:rRNA from 1 species